rnacentral:sRNA from 1 species
ACACGAGAGAGGAGGUGGUCCAGAAAUUGCAUACGUUCAGGACUCGUGAGGUGGCUGUCCGCUAGCCGCCGUCCAGAUGGGCCGCCCGCUCAGGCACUGCCGAAGACCGGCAGGAACUGAGCGACGGCAAUCCCGCCCGUCCGUCGUACGGCGGCGAGCGAGAACCGGACAGUCACCCGACCCCCGGGCCGCCGACCGUUGUCCAGUCGGCCCGCGUGCAGCUCCCCGCUCCGGCGGGUCCAGCGCCGCGGAGCAGCCCGGGGGUUGUCCGUU